AUUGAACGCUGGCGGCAGGCCUAACACAUGCAAGUCGAGCGGAUGAAGGGAGCUUGCUCCUGGAUUCAGCGGCGGACGGGUGAGUAAUGCCUAGGAAUCUGCCUGGUAGUGGGGGAUAACGUCCGGAAACGGGCGCUAAUACCUCAUACGUCCUGAGGGAGAAAGUGGGGGAUCUUCGGACCUCACGCUAUCAGAUGAGCCUAGGUCGGAUUAGCUAGUUGGUGGGGUAAAGGCCUACCAAGGCGACGAUCCGUAACUGGUCUGAGAGGAUGAUCAGUCACACUGGAACUGAGACACGGUCCAGACUCCUACGGGAGGCAGCAGUGGGGAAUAUUGGACAAUGGGCGAAAGCCUGAUCCAGCCAUGCCGCGUGUGUGAAGAAGGUCUUCGGAUUGUAAAGCACUUUAAGUUGGGAGGAAGGGCAGUAAGUUGAUACCUUGCUGUUUUGACGUUACCAACAGAAUAAGCACCGGCUAACUUCGUG
rnacentral:rRNA from 1 species